rnacentral:rRNA from 1 species
ACUGCUCAGUAACACGUAGUCAACCUAACUCGUGGACGUGGAUAACCUCGGGAAACUGAGGAUAAACCGCGAUAGGCCAAGAUUUCUGGAAUGAAUCAUGGUUUAAAUCUAUAUGGCCCCUGGAUUGGACUGCGGCCGAUCAGGCUGUUGGUGAGGUAAUGGCCCACCAAACCUGUAACCGGUACGGGCUCUGAGAGGAGGAGCCCGGAGAUGGGCACUUAGACAAGGGCCCAGGCCCUAUGGGGCGCAGCAGGCGCGAAACCUCUGCAAUAAGCGAAAGCUUGACAGGGUUACUCUGGGUGAUUUCCGCUAAGGAAGUCUUUUGGCACCUCUAAGAAUGGUGCAGAAUAAGGGGUGGGCAAGUCUGGUGUCAGCCGCCGCGGUAAUACCAGCACCCCGAGUGGUCGGGACGAUUAUUGGGCCUAAAGCAUCCGUAGCCGGUCCUGCAAGUCCUCCGUUAAAUCCACCCGCUCAACGGUUGGGCCGCGGGGGAUACUACAGGGCUAGGAGGCCAGUGGCGAAGGCGGCUUGCCAGAACGCGCUCGACGGUGAGGGAUGAAAGCUGGGGGAGCAAACCGGAUUAGAUACCCGGGUAGUCCCAGCUGUAAACGAUGCAGACUCGGUGAUGGGCUGGCUUCGUGCCAACCCGGUGCCGCAGGGAAGCCGUUAAGUCUGCCGCCUGGGGAGUACGGUCGCAAGACUGAAACUUAAAGGAAUUGGGAGAGGCAAGCGGUACUCGAUGGGUAGGGGUAAAAUCCACUGAUCCAUUGAAGACCACGGCGGGGGAGCAC